rnacentral:rRNA from 1 species
UACGGAGGGUGCAAGCGUUAUCCGGAUUCACUGGGUUUAAAGGGUGCGUAGGUGGCUUUGUACGUCAGUGGUGAAAUCUUAGAGCUUAACUCUAAAACUGCCAUUGAUACUGCUUAGCUUGAAUCAAGUAGAGGUGGAUGGAAUAUUACAUGUAGCGGUGAAAUGCUUAGAUAUGUAAUAGAACACCGAUUGCGAAGGCAGUUCACUAUGCUUGUAUUGACACUGAGGCACGAAAGCGUGGGGAUCAAACAGG